GAUGAACGCUGACAGAAUGCUUAACACAUGCAAGUCAACUUGAACUUCGGUUUGGGUGGCGGACGGGUGAGUAACGCGUAAAGAACUUGCCUCACAGAUAGGGACAACAUUUGGAAACGAAUGCUAAUACCUGAUAUUAUGAUUUUAGGGCAUCCUAGGAUUAUGAAAGCUAUAUGAGCUGUGAGAGAGCUUUGCGUCCCAUUAGCUAGUUGGAGAGGUAACGGCUCACCAAGGCGAUGAUGGGUAGCCGGCCUGAGAGGGUGAUCGGCCACAAGGGGACUGAGACACGGCCCGUACUCCUACGGGAGGCAGCAGUGGGGAAUAUUGGACAAUGGACCAAGAGUCUGAUCCAGCAAUUCUGUGUGCAAGAUGAAGUUUUUCGGAAUGUAAAGUGCUUUCAGUUGGGAAGAAAAAAAUGACGGUACCAACAGAAGAAGUGACGGCUAAAUACGUG
rnacentral:rRNA from 1 species